GACAUCCUCACUGCUUAGACCCCAUCAGUGGCCUUGAUGGCCUUGACAAAGAUGCCGGCGGAACGUUGGCCGGCUAGACCGCUUGGCACGCUUCCAAUUCAUCAGGGUGCCCACACCAGCAGGUGGGACUCGUCAGGCACAAACCCAGUGUACGGGGCCCAGUCGCACCACUGCAGAAUGCGCAGCUCAGCUGCCGCCAGGGCCGCGGGGCUGCUGCGCGCGGCCACCGCUAGCGCGCCACUGCCCGGCACCUCCUGACGCCGCUCCUCAAGCUUCGCUGCCACCCACACAGCCGCCACGGCAUACACCUGCAGCCCCGCGGCCGCAGCACCAGCGCCCCGACAGCCGUAGACAGCCAGCGGGGCAGCGGCGGCGGUGGCGUCUGGCCGCACAGACAGCAACAGGCGCGCCAGCGGUUCUACCCGAGUCCAUAUGUGCAGCGCCAGGCGGCCAGUGGUGUCCGCCGACAGGCACAGACCGCGGCAUGUGAGCAGAAUGCACUCGCGGGGGGCCAAGUCACGUAGCUGGGUCGGUGUCGGUGGCGCCACAGGCAGCGGGCUGCUGCCCCUGCUGCCGCCACCGCAAUCAUAGGUCGUGUUGCCAAAAGUGCGGCGGCUGGCGCUAGCGACGUCACAGCUGUCGUUGCAACCCGACGCGACACAGCAGCUGCCGAAGUCGCUGCUACUGUGGGAGCUGGCACGGGCGAAGGGAAAGCUGUCACUGGCCGAGGCACCUGCGGAGGGACCAAGCAGCAGCGGUCGCCGGGACCAUGCCUGCGCUACAACAGAGGCGGAAUGCUGCUGCUGGUGUUGCAGAAACGACUGAUGGCUCGCCUCCAGGCUCCGGCGCAAGGCGGCCUCACUGCUGCACGUAAGGGCGGCUAGCUGUGCCGCUGACAGCCGCACGACGCCACCGGCAGCUGCUCCCAUGGCGCAGCAGCUGCUGCCAUGCGAAGAGGGCUGCAACGCCGCCGGAAGGCUGAUGAGCGGGGGCUGGCACGCUGGCACGCGCAACGGUCUGUGAUGUGCCGGCGGCAGGGGUUCCUCGUCACGACAUGUCGACAAGGUGGGGGCGCUGCCAGCAAAGCGCCAGCUGCUUCGCGCGGUUGCCCCGCCCACCGAUGCACAACCGCCGCACAGGGCCACACCACUUCGGCCUUCCGGGCUGGUGCCAGGCAGCUGCCCCGGUGCGAGGUUGACAGCCGAGGAAACGGUCAUCGUAUGCGGAAACGGAUGACACGCGCGGCCCCCUCGCUCCGGGCUCAUGCCGCAGCUGCUGUCAGGGUUGCUGGCUGAUGCCCACGCUGACCAGACACUCGCCGGCUGCGCCGCAAAAACGUAGCUGCUGCCUCUCGAGUGACUGGGCGCGCCUGACGCCUGGGCUUCGCCGCGUGUCGAGUCAAACACCUCCAGUUGCUGGCCGCAUCCACUUGUCCUCGCCCGUUUUGCAUAGCGAUACGAGUCAUCUAGCGCUGGCGACUCGCAGCACCGCUGGUCGCGAGGGACCUUGCCCAGCUCCACGAAACGGUUGGCCAAUCGUGCUGCGCUGAGUUUUGCUAGGCUCACGGGCGUGGAAGUCGAGCCAGUGCCAGCUGAUAAAAGGGAUGACAUUCUAGAUGCUGCGCGUGCGGGCAGUGUGCUCAGCGCCCACUAGCGCAGAAUGCGGACUCCAAAGCUUGACAAAGCCGAACAACGGCUGCCCGCUGCACUGGUGUCGCAGACGCCCUCAGGUAGAUGUUCGGCUGUGCAAUUCACAGGUCAGCCCUUGAGCAACUUGAUGUCUGCGUGCGAGGUCAACCGUGUGAGGACGUCGGAUGGUCGUCCCAGUCGACUAAACGCGCGAGUUACUCGAAGCAAUGCGCGAGGAACCGCAAUCAGAAAGAUAUGAAAGAAAGCCAAGGCCAAUCCGGACACGCCGUUUGGGACACGCCCGACCAGCAGCGGCAGCGCUGACGAACGACGAUUCUAUCGCCACAAACCCGCGCGACGCACAGCCCAAACGCACCUAGGUGGAUUACAGAGGCGCAAGAGCACGUCGGCUGGCUGCGUGACCUCUGUGCGAACACCCGCGAGGUGCAAUGACAGCACCGGGUUUUCAAGCUGCGGAAGAGACUCGAUGUCUUCUUGCGAAGUGACAGGUCUAUAACCAGGUGUAAUCUAGAUUGGCUCGGAGCGGCUCUGGGAACAAUGCUCAAGAACUAGUCGCGGUCCUUGAGACGCGAGGAGUCGUGCCGCGAUAACUCGAUUUCUUCGUGAGCGGGACUGUCGGUGGUAAGGUAUGUACAUUACUGAGCGGUAUUAGCAUUGGGCUUGUGCUCGUCGCUUGGGCUCGGAGUUAGGAAUUGGAAGGUACUGCAUCUCCGCGCUGUCAUAGCCUACACGGUUCGGCCCUUGGCACGCGGAAACCUGGGCCCGCGCGACAUCAGGGCCUUCCUUCCUCACCCAGGGGGCUCAAAAUCCGACCCCAUUUAUCUUAACACACACGGCCGGGGGUAAUGGGUGCGACUGCGUUGACAUCGUAACGAUGAUGUUCACACCACACGCGCAAACACCGAUUUGCAUGCGCUGGUGGCGCUCGAUACGCAUAUACAUGUAAUCGAUUAUCUCUUUGUCAAGGUGGUGUGUUCGCGGCUGCCGUUUUUGUCGACUCGGAACAUCAACCCACUUUGCAGCCGUUGUCGAAGUUUUGAGGGGACGAUUUGUAGUCUGUGAACCAGCCCUGCAGAUGUUUUUGAUCCACUUGGUGUGGCACGGGCUUCUCUCGAUGCCCCAGCAGCGCUACGCCCAAGCGGCUGCGCCCCCCUCUGACAACACGUGCAUAUACCGUGUGCACGGACAAGGCACAGUCGACGAGCCCCCGCUGCCCCGGGCUGUGAGCAAUUUUCAAUCGACACAGGCAAACACAAAUCCCCCCUACUUGCGCGUCGACAAGCCCUUCGCCGGGGGCAGGAGGGGAACGAGUCAAACGACACCUGCCGGUGCGCCUCCAGCGGGGCCAGGCUUGGGGCCAGGGGCAUUCGGGCUCCUCUUGAUGGGCCUUGACUCGCACGCCCUUGGCACGCGGAAGCUUACAUUCUGGCGGGCAUAGCCAAAUACUUGUGAAUUCCAUAGAUGUGUGUCUACUUGACAGUUACCGAGUCAUUAAGCGGCGGCAAGAUUCGUCUGAUGUCUUUAUGAUUGCGGUUUUUGCAAGCACGUCGAUUACAAGAGAGGACAACCCGAAUGUUGCCUGGACGAACUUUAGCCAGGGGACUCCUGCCCCCGACCGGAAACCACCUCCAGGUUGGCUGCAUACUCUCUCGGUCUGGAUCCGAGCAACUCCGCGUACAGUGAGCCGAAGCUAAGCCAGUGCCUUGCCAGGUGCAAGACCCGCCAAAACCUCACCAUACAGCUUCACCGCCGCAAGUCCAGGCAAGACAGGUAGCACGCAUGCUCGUGCACACCACCUUGUAACCUUGCUUGUAACCAACAACAACACGAGGUAGAUCGUUUGGUGGCGGCACCCCCGCACAACAAGGCAAGACAGGUCUGCUGACCGCCGUGUUAAACGAAAGCACCACUCAUUUCACAAAUCUGGGGUCGUGACAAGGCGCCAAGAGGCACGGAGGCCCAAACACAACGGCCGGCCCCUAUGGCCGGGCGCGAAAGCGCAAGCGCGCAACGUCAACCGUUCGUACAGUACCAAAACAGGCAAGAAAUCGGGGCGGCCCCCACAUGGCAGGCCCACACACAUCAAGGGGAGGGCGGCGGGGAGGCAUUGUCUUCAGGCAAAACAAGCAACAUCUUAUCAUCAGUACCACGCGCGAGGAAGGGGUGGUGUGUAGGCACCGCAUCCCAUCCACGCGGGUGAAUCCCCAACGUCACGAACGUCUGGAGCCGCCCCCAGAAAUCCGACACAACUAACGGCAACCCCAAUGGCGGACACCGUAGCCCCCGCAAGGGUGGCCCCGGCAGCCAGCCCCGCCGUCACCACCGUUGUCGGCCGGUCAUUAUGAAGUCCGCCUUCCGAAGCACCCGAGCCUAAAGGACGCCAGCCCAUUGGUUGAUGGGACGCCAGCAGCGCGGACAUGCGGUAUGUAGUGUGACGUCUGCUGAUUGCUGACACUUCGUUCCACUGCAUGCUGUCUAUGCAGACUGUAUCCAUUGCCUGAACGAGAGACUUUGUGUGACCGGGCCCCUGCACGCAGAAGGCCCGGUACCCUACCACUGCAGUGUAGCAAACACAAUGACGACUAACUGACUCCGUGACUACCGAUUAGGAGGGCGCCCCAAACGGUGCCGUGGGGCCUAUCAAUGCAGCAAUGCUUCCUUCCUGUGCAUGGCGUUGGGUUCUCAGGACAGUGUGGCGAUGUGCUGAUCAGGGUGCAUCGCUGGUGACGAUGCAGUGAUGUUAGUGGGGAUGUGGCAUAGCACGACGUCCGUCGGAUCCAUCCCUAAUACAGUGAUACCCCGCUGCUGCCGCAGUACUGUAGCUUAAUGUCCUUUUAUACUUGUUCACUUCGCUCCGGGGCCUUAGACAGACUGGCAGAAACACAGGCGCUGCCUGGCUGUCACAGGCUGUCACCAUAGGUCACCACCCCCAUCCAUGCAAGCAAGUUGCUCUGCUGUUGCCCUCUGCUGGCUGACGCAACUUUUGGAUUGGACUUGAGUCCUUGCGUUGCGCGGUCAAGUCGUCUGCUUGCGAGCCACGUGUCGAAGAGCUCAAUUCUCAUUGCAUGCAUCUACAGCCAUAGCCAUGUGACCAGUUGGUGAGCGUUCGCAGGCAACGGCCACGCACGAGCGCAUUCAUCUUUGCAUUCAUCCACAGCACAGCUGCUGCAGGGCGCGAUCAAGGUCAGCCGUCAUAGUUACACCCCCUGACUUCUUAUGUCCAAGCCCACAUCAUGGCUGAGGAUUCCGUACUAUGCACCAGGGGUGCAUCUGUGUGAUGUACAACCAUCCACAUCUGCAGCACCUGGCCAAGCACCCUUAAGGACAUUCGUAAACCGGCAUUCCAGCCAAUUUACUUCGCACGUCUGCUGCUGCGGCCUGCAGGUGCGCUCUCCCUCUCAUUUCCAGCACGCAUUGUAAAACACGCUCAAAGCAUUGGGCGAUGACCGAUCGAUCCGCAGGACAUGUACAGAGGAGGCACACAGCACCUGUCAAGCAAUGAGGAACGUACGUGCCCACAUCCCCCGCAUGAUUAUUUCAAGCUAGUAACCCAGUAAUGAACGUCAGGAAAGAAUAAGGUGCAUAUGUGAUCAUACCAUCUUUCUUGGAAGCUUUCAGUUGCUGAAAACAUUAACAUCUGUUGUAUUUCAUUGGCGUCUGUUCGUACGGCAUGCAGUCACGCAGCCACACAGUCGUUGCCACACACAGUCCCACAAAACGUACCCUGCGAACCCCCAAAAAUAGAACACGAAGCAUCAUACUGCAGCACAGCACUCUAGCACGUGCACUAACCAGGGAGAGGCGGCUCUCACGCCACAUAUUUGAACCUACUCGACGACUCAAUGAAGCGCCCAGAUAAACAUACAGGAUGCCACCUCCAUACCCCGCACCCCACAUCAUCACCCGACCCCCUGCUGCUGCUGCUAGGCCGGCUUGGCAUGCUUCCAAUUCAUCAGGGUGCCCACACCAGCAGGUGGGACUCGUCAGGCACAAACCCAGUGUACGGGGCCCAGUCGCACCACUGCAGAAUGCGCAGCUCAGCUGCCGCCAGGGCCGCGGGGCUGCUGCGCGCGGCCACCGCUAGUGCGCCAC
rnacentral:lncRNA from 1 species